UGGGGAAUAUUGGGGCAAAUGGGGCGAAAGCCUUACCCAGCAAUGCCGCGUGAGUGAAGAAGGUCUUCGGAUUGUAAAGCUCUUUGAUCAGGGACGAACACAAUGACGGUACCUGAAGAACAAGCCCCGGCUAACUACGUGCCAGCAGCCGCGGUAAUACGUAGGGGGCAAGCGUUGUCCGGAAUGACUGGGCGUAAAGGGUGUGUAGGCGGGCUCGCAAGUUGGAUGUGUAAUACCCAGGGCUUAACUCGGGUGCUGCAUCUAAAACUGUUAGACUUGAGUACUGGAGAGGAUAGUGGAAUUCCUAGUGUAGCGGUGGAAUGCGUAGAUAUUAGGAGGAACAUCAGUGGCGAAGGCGACUAUCUGGACAGCAACUGACACUGAGGCACGAAAGCGUGGGGAGCAAACA
rnacentral:rRNA from 1 species